GUGGGGAAUAUUGGACAAUGGGCGCAAGCCUGAUCCAGCCAUGCCGCGUGUGUGAAGAAGGCCUUCGGGUUGUAAAGCACUUUUGUCCGGGAAGAAAUCUUCCAGGUUAAUACCCUGGGAGGCUGACGGUACCGGAAGAAUAAGCACCGGCUAACUUCGUGCCAGCAGCCGCGGUAAUACGAAGGGUGCAAACGUUACUCGGAAUUACUGGGCGUAAAGCGUGCGUAGGUGGUUCGUUAAGUCUGCCGUGAAAGCCCCGGGCUCAACCUGGGAAUGGCGGUGGAUACUGGCGGGCUAGAGUGCGGUAGAGGGUGGUGGAAUUCCCGGUGUAGCAGUGAAAUGCGUAGAGAUCGGGAGGAACAUCUGUGGCGAAGGCGGCCACCUGGACCAGCACUGACACUGAGGCACGAAAGCGUGGGGAGCAAACAGGAUUAGAUACCCUAGUAGUCC
rnacentral:rRNA from 1 species